UACGUAGGGGGCAAGCGUUGUCCGGAUUUAUUGGGCGUAAAGAGCGUGUAGGCGGCUAGGUAGGUCCGUUGUGAAAACUCGAGGCUCAACCUCGAGACGCCGAUGGAAACCAUCUAGCUAGAGUCCGGAAGAAGAGAGUGGAAUUCCUGGUGUAGCGGUGAAAUGCGCAGAUAUCAGGAAGAACACCCGUGGCUAAGGCGGCUCUCUAGUACGGUACUGACGCUGAGACGCGAAAGCGUGGGGAGCGAACAGG
rnacentral:rRNA from 1 species